rnacentral:rRNA from 1 species
UACGAAGGGGGCUAGCGUUGCUCGGAAUUACUGGGCGUAAGGGCGCGUAGGCGGACAGUUUAGUCAGAGGUGAAAGCCCAGGGCUCAACCUUGGAAUUGCCUUUGAUACUGGCUGUCUUGAGUUCGGGAGAGGUGAGUGGAAUGCCGAGUGUAGAGGUGAAAUUCGUAGAUAUUCGGCGGAACACCAGUGGCGAAGGCGACUCACUGGCCCGAUACUGACGCUGAGGCGCGAAAGCGUGGGGAGCAAACAGG